rnacentral:rRNA from 1 species
AGAGUUUGAUUCUGGCUCAGGACGAACGCUGGCGGCGUGCUUAACACAUGCAAGUCGAACGAUGAAGCCUAGCUUGCUAGGUGGAUUAGUGGCGAACGGGUGAGUAAUACGUGAGUAACCUACCUUUAACUCUGGGAUAAGCCCGGGAAACUGGGUCUAAUACCGGAUACGACCAAUCUCCGCAUGGGGUGUUGGUGGAAAGCGUUAUGUAGUGGUUAUAGAUGGGCUCACGGCCUAUCAGCUUGUUGGUGAGGUAACGGCUCACCAAGGCGACGACGGGUAGCCGGCCUGAGAGGGUGACCGGCCACACUGGGACUGAGACACGGCCCAGACUCCUACGGGAGGCAGCAGUGGGGAAUAUUGCACAAUGGGCGCAAGCCUGAUGCAGCGACGCCGCGUGAGGGAUGACGGCCUUCGGGUUGUAAACCUCUGUUAGCAGGGAAGAAGAGAGAUUGACGGUACCUGCAGAGAAAGCGCCGGCUAACUACGUGCCAGCAGCCGCGGUAAUACGUAGGGCGCGAGCGUUGUCCGGAAUUAUUGGGCGUAAAGAGCUUGUAGGCGGUUUGUCGCGUCUGCUGUGAAAGGCCGGGGCUUAACUCCGUGUAUUGCAGUGGGUACGGGCAGACUAGAGUGCAGUAGGGGAGACUGGAAUUCCUGGUGUAGCGGUGGAAUGCGCAGAUAUCAGGAGGAACACCGAUGGCGAAGGCAGGUCUCUGGGCUGUAACUGACGCUGAGAAGCGAAAGCAUGGGGAGCGAACAGGAUUAGAUACCCUGGUAGUCCAUGCCGUAAACGUUGGGCACUAGGUGUGGGGGACAUUCCACGUUUUCCGCGCCGUAGCUAACGCAUUAAGUGCCCCGCCUGGGGAGUACGGCCGCAAGGCUAAAACUCAAAGGAAUUGACGGGGGCCC